rnacentral:rRNA from 1 species
AGCAGCCGCGGUAAUUCCAGCUCCAAUAGCGUAUAUUAAAGUUGUUGCAGUUAAAAGGCUCGUAGUUGAAUUUCGGGGUCAGCAAGUUGGUCGUGCCACCGGUAUGCACUGGCUUUGCUGAUUCCUCCUUCUUGUAGAACCGUAAUGCCAUUAAGUUGGUGUUGCGGGAAAACAGGACUGUUACUUUGAAAAAAUUAGAGUGUUUAAAGCAGGCUAACGCUUGAAUACAUUAGCAUGGAAUAAUGAAAUAGGACGACGAUCCUAUUUUGUUGGUUUCUAGGAUUGACGUAAUGAUUAAUAGGGAUAGUUGGGGGCAUUAGUAUUCAAUUGUCAGAGGUGAAAUUCUUGGAUUUAUUGAAGACUGACUACUGCGAAAGCAUUUGCCAAGGAUGUUUUCAUUAAUCAAGAACGAAAGUUAGGGGAUCGAAGACGAUCAGAUACCGUCGUAGUCUUAACCAUAAACUAUGCCGACUAGGGAUCGGAUGAUGUUAAUUUUUUAAUGACUCA